CCUACGGGAGGCUGCAGUGGGGGAUAUUGCACAAUGGGGGAAACCCUGAUGCAGCGACGCCGCGUGAGUGAAGACGUAUUUUGGUAUGUAAAGCUCUAUCAGUAGGGAAGAAAAUGACAGUACCUGACCAAGAAGCCCCGGCUAACUACGUGCCAGCAGCCGCGGUAAUACGGAGGGGGCAAGCGUUAUCCGGAUUUACCGGGCGUAAAGGGGGCGUAGACGGUUAUGUAAGUCUGGAGUGAAAGCCUGGGGCCCAACCCCAGAACUGCUUUGGAAACUGUGUGACUGGAGUACAGGAGGGGCAGGCGGAAUUCCUGGUGUAGCGGUGAAAUGCGUAGAUAUCAAGAGGAACACCGACGGCGAAGGCGGCCUGCUGGACUGAAACUGACGUUGAGGCUCGAAAGCGUGGGGAGCAAACAGGAUUAGAUACCCUUGUAGUC
rnacentral:rRNA from 1 species